GACGAACGCUGGCGGCGUGCCUAAUACAUGCAAGUAGAACGCUGAAGGAGGAGCUUGCUUCUCUGGAUGAGUUGCGAACGGGUGAGUAACGCGUAGGUAACCUGCCUGGUAGCGGGGGAUAACUAUUGGAAACGAUAGCUAAUACCGCAUAAGAGUAGAUGUUGCAUGACAUUUGCUUAAAAGGUGCAAUUGCAUCACUACCAGAUGGACCUGCGUUGUAUUAGCUAGUUGGUGGGGUAACGGCUCACCAAGGCGACGAUACAUAGCCGACCUGAGAGGGGGAUCGGCCACCCUGGGACUGGGACACGGCCCAGACUCCUACGGGAGGCAGCAGUAGGGGAUCUUCGGCAAUGGACGGAAGUCUGACCGAGCAACGCCGCGUGAGUGAAGAAGGUUUUCGGAUCGUAAAGCUCUGUUGUAAGAGAAGAACGAGUGUGAGAGUGGAAAGUUCACACUGUGACGGUAUCUUACCAGAAAGGGACGGCUAACUACGUG
rnacentral:rRNA from 1 species